rnacentral:rRNA from 1 species
GACGAACCGUGCGACCGUUGUUCGGAAUCCCUGGGCAUAAAGGGCGCGUAGGCGGCUUUUCAAGUCAGGGGUGAAAUCCGGCAGCUCAACUGUCGAAGUGCCCUUGAUACUGAUGAGCUCGAGGGAGGUAGGGGUAUGUGGAACUUCCGGUGGAGCGGUGAAAUGCGUUGAUAUCGGAAGGAACGCCGGUGGCGAAAGCGACGUACUGGACCUCUUCUGACGCUGAGGCGCGAAAGCGAGGGGAGCAAACGGG